AAGAAGCAUGAGAAUCAGUGAGUGGAACAAGCUAAAAUUGUUAUGUUUUUUUUAAUAGGAUAAACUUAAGAGUCACCAAGAAGCUGGAGACACUUCCGAGAAAGCAUUUACUGCAGUAUUUGGCAAAGAACAACCAGGAAGAGUUCGAUGUUAUGGGAGGACAAUCACAAAAACAUCUCUGCAGAAAGAACGGGAGAUUGCUAAAAUUAAGCAACAACAUGCAGAGACUAUAAGUUCAAUGAAAACUGAACUUCAUGAGACAAAAGAUAGAGUCCAAAGUUUGGAGGAUCUUGUGAAGCUUCUCUUGCAACAGAGUUCUCUUGGCACAAAUAUUGAUGAAGCACUAUCUUUAUUACGAGCCAAGGAAUCAACACAUGAUAUAAAUAGUAAGCAAUGUUCGAAUGGCAACGAUCGUCCUUCCUCAUCAACUCGUGAUCCAAAGUGAUGACCAGUUAUUGGACUCAGUGGAGGCAAGAGGAUUUUGAGUUCAUCAUACCACACACUAUCAGAUUGUUCCAACAAAGUCAAGCAUAGAUAUAAAAUAUGCAAAUAGAUUGACAUUAUUUUGAUAAAUAUUAAUUACUAUUUUGUUAUGACAAUUAUUGUUAGACAAGAAUUUUAUUAUUUUGUUGAGAAUUAUUGAUGAACAUGUAUUAGAAAUACUAAUUGAACUUUUUAAUAUCUAUUUUAAUUAGAAUUUUAUUUUUA